rnacentral:rRNA from 1 species
UCCUACGGGAAGCAGCAGUGGGGAAUAUUGCGCAAUGGGCGAAAGCCUGACGCAGCCAUGCCGCGUGUGUGAAGAAGGCCUUCGGGUUGUAAAGCACUUUCACUUGGGAAGAAWGGCUAGGGGCUAAUACCUUUUAGCUGUGACAUUACCUUGAGAAGAAGCACCGGCUAACUCCGUGCCAGCAGCCGCGGUAAUACGGAGGGUGCAAGCGUUAAUCGGAAUUACUGGGCGUAAAGCGCGCGUAGGCGGUUUGUUAAGUCGGAUGUGAAAGCCCCGGGCUCAACCUGGGAACUGCACCCGAUACUGGCCGACUAGAGUACGAGAGAGGGAGGUAGAAUUCCACGWGUAGCGGUGAAAUGCGUAGAUAUGUGGAGGAAUMACCGGUGGCGAAGGCGACCUCCUGGCUCGAUACUGACGCUGAGGUGCGAAAGCGUGGGGAGCAMACAGGAUUAGAUMCCCUGGUAGUCCACGCCGUAAACGAUGUCUACUAGCCGUUGGGAGACUUGAUUUCUUGGGGCGCAGCUAACGCAUUAAGUAGACCGC